rnacentral:lncRNA from 1 species
GGAAUCUCAAGUAGAGAUCAGCUCUGCUAUACUGGAAAAUAGAUCAGCUGAUAUCCAGCCCCCGCAAUCCAUUUUGGUUGAUCAAAAGGAUAUUGAAGAAUCCAAAGAACCUGGUAUCGAGAGUGCUGAUGUGUCUUUACACCAAUUAGCUGAUAUCCAGGCCGAGCCAUCCAAUUUGGUUGAUCAAAUGGAUAUUGAAGAAUCCAAAGAACCUGGUACCGAGAGUGCUGAUGUGUCUUUACACCAAUUAGCUGAUAUCCAGCCCGGGCCAUCCAUUUUGGUUGAUCAAAUGGAUACUGAAAAAUCCAAAGAACCUGGUACCGAGAGUGCUGAUGUGUCUUUACACCAAUUAGCUGAUAUCCAGCCCGGGCCAUCCAUUUUGGUUGAUCAAAUGGAUACUGAAAAAUCCAAAGAACCUGGUACCGAGAGUGCUGAUGUGUCUUUACACCAAUUAGCUGAUAUCCAGCCCGGGCCAUCCAUUUUGGUUGAUCAAAUGGAUACUGAAGAAUUCAAAAAUCCUGAUGUGUCUUUACACCAAUUAGCUGAUAUUGAGCCCUCACUGUCUAUUUCAGCUGUGCAAAAGAAUAUUGAGGAUAAGGAUCAAAGUCACGUUGAAACUGCUGGAUCUGAGUUAGUUGAUGUCUCUGCCGAAUGUUCAACAGAACCUCAAGUUCAAUUACCGCCAUCUUCAGAGCCAGUGGGAGAUAUGCACGUUCAUUUAGGGGCAAGCAAAUCAGAAAUAGUUGCCGAAGGUACUGACUUCUCUUCAUCUCUCCCGAAGACGGAGGAAGAAAAUGCCAAGAGCCAAUUAGCUGACACCGAGCCAUCAUCGUCUCUUACAGCUGUGCAAAAGAACAUUGAAGAUCAAGUUGAAACUGCUGGAUGUGAAUUUGUUGUUGUCUCUACCGGAUGUUCAACAGAACCACAAGUUCAAUUACCGCCGUCCGCAGAGCCAGUGGUUGCUGAAGGUACAGAAUUCCCUUCUUCCCUCCUAAUGACCGGGGUAGAUAAUUCUUCCCAUCUAAUGACCGGGGUAGAUAAUGCCAAGACCCAUCUCGCUGAUGUUGUGCCUUCAUCGUCACCUACAACUAUGGAAAAGAACAUUGAAGCUCAAGAUCAAGAUCAAGUUACAACUGGUGGAUGUGGUCUAGUUGAUGUCUUGACCGAAUGUUCGUCAGAACCUCAACUUCAACUGCCGCCAUCCGCAGAACCAGUGAUUUCUGAAGGUACAGAACUCGCUACACUCCCAUUGACGGAGGAAGAAAAUGCUGAUAGCCAAUUAGCUAAUAUUGAGCCCUCAUCGUCUCCUUCAGUUGUGGAAAAGAACAUUGAGGCUCAAGAUCAAGAUCAAGUUAAAACUGCUGGAUGUGAGUUAGUCUCGACUGGAUGUUCGUCAGAACCACAAGUUCAUUUACCGCCCUCCGCAGAGCCAGAUGGAGAUAUACACGUUCACUUAAAGGAAACAGAGAAAUCUGAAAGCAUGGUUGUGGUUGGCGAAGGUACAGCAUUCCCUUCAUCUCUCCCAGUGACAGAGGAAGGAAAUGCUGAGAGCCAAUUAGCUGACACUGAGCCCUUUACGUCUCCUACAGUUGUGGAAAAGAACAUUAAGGAUCAAGAACAAGUUGAAACUACUGGAUGUGGGUUAGUUGAUGAUUCUACCGGAUGUUCGUCAGAACCUCAAGUUCAAU